rnacentral:lncRNA from 1 species
GCAUUGAUGUACUUAAGAGUUAUUCAAUAACUAUUAUAUAUAAUUUUAGGCAGAAAUUUUACAACUCCAUAACAGUUAAACUCUAUUUACAUCAUAUAAGGAGAUAAUGAGAUUUAAAAACUAAGAAGAGAUAAAGUAACUUUUUUAUGCAAAAUAGGAAAUAUGUGUGAAAUUGUUAAAUUUCUUUAUGUUAUGUUAAUCUUCCUUUCUAUAUUUCUUGUUACAACGAACGUAGAUGGUAAGUUAUUUUCAUCCUUUUCAAAUUCUUUUAUUUACUUCAUACACAAAAUAUUAUUCCCAUUUUAAUUACAUUCUUCUUUUCUCUUUUUGACAUCACAACAGGUUAUCGAUGUCGAAAAGAUUACGAUUGUCUAAACAAGAAAUGCCGCAAGCCUCUUGAACCGAGUUGUAUAUACUUCCAUUGCACAUGUAUUGAAAUUCAUCUUCGUUUUUAGUCCUUAUAAAAAUUCAAGUUUUAAAUUAUGGAAAUUUAUGUUCGUUUAUAAGAACCAGAAACCAUUAUGGUUAUAAAUUAGAUAUCCAAGUGAUUUUAUAUUUAAUGUCAUACGCAAUGGAGUACACGAAUUAUCAUUUAGUUAGUGUGUUGGUAUCCAAUUUUUUUAUUGAUGUUAUUGGAUUGAAAUUUCAAA